GAAGGGUGCAAGCGUUACUCGGAAUUACUGGGCGUAAAGCGUGCGUAGGUGGUGGUUUAAGUCUGAUGUGAAAGCCCUGGGCUCAACCUGGGAAUGGCAUUGGAAACUGGGUCACUGGAGUGCGGUAGAGGAUGGCGGAAUUCCCGGUGUAGCAGUGAAAUGCGUAGAGAUCGGGAGGAACAUCCGUGGCGAAGGCGGCCAUCUGGACCAGCACUGACACUGAGGCACGAAAGCGUGGGGAGCAAACAGGAUUAGAUACCCUGGUAGUCCACGCCCUAAACGAUGCGAACUGGAUGUUGGGGGCAAUCAGGCCUUCAGUAUCGAAGCUAACGCGUUAAGUUCGCCGCCUGGGGAGUACGGUCGCAAGACUG
rnacentral:rRNA from 1 species